UAUACUAUAGUUUAUAAAUUAAAACCACGAAUUGCAAAUUCGAAAAUGAAAAAUUUCUUCUAGUAUAU
rnacentral:tRNA from 2 species